rnacentral:rRNA from 1 species
UGGGGAAUUUUGGACAAUGGGGGAAACCCUGAUCCAGCCAUCCCGCGUGUGCGAUGAAGGCCUUCGGGUUGUAAAGCACUUUUGGCAGGAAAGAAACGUCAUGGGUUAAUACCCCGUGAAACUGACGGUACCUGCAGAAUAAGCACCGGCUAACUACGUGCCAGCAGCCGCGGUAAUACGUAGGGUGCAAGCGUUAAUCGGAAUUACUGGUCGUAAAGCGUGCGCAGGCGGUUCGGAAAGAAAGAUGUGAAAUCCCAGAGCUCAACUUUGGAACUGCAUUUUUAACUGCCUGGCUAGAGUGUGUCAGAGGGAGGUGGAAUUCCGCGUGUAGCAGUGAAAUUCGUAGAUAUGCGGAGGAACACCGAUGGCGAAGGCAGCCUCCUGGGAUAACACUGACGCUCAUGAACGAAAGCGUGGGGAGCAAACAGG